rnacentral:rRNA from 1 species
AUUGAACGCUGGCGGCAGGCCUAACACAUGCAAGUCGGACGGUAGCACAGAGAGCUUGCUCUUGGGUGACGAGCGGCGGACGGGUGAGUAAUGUCUGGGGAUCUGCCCGAUAGAGGGGGAUAACCACUGGAAACGGUGGCUAAUACCGCAUAACGUCGCAAGACCAAAGAGGGGGACCUUCGGGCCUCUCACUAUUGGAUGAACCCAGAUGGGACUAGCUAGUAGGCGGGGUAAUGGCCCACCUAGGCGACGAUCCCUAGCUGGUCUGAGAGGAUGACCAGCCACACUGGAACUGAGACACGGUCCAGACUCCUACGGGAGGCAGCAGUGGGGAAUAUUGCACAAUGGGCGCAAGCCUGAUGCAGCCAUGCCGCGUGUAUGAAGAAGGCCUUCGGGUUGUAAAGUACUUUCAGCGGGGAGGAAGGCGGUGCGGUUAAUAACCGUACCGAUUGACGUUACCCGCUGAAGAAGCACCGGCUAACUCCGUGCCAGCAGCCGCCGUAA